AAAGUGGAUUAGCGGCGGACGGGUGAGUAACACGUGAGUAACCUGCCUUAGACAUUGGGAUAGCCUCGGAAACCGGGAUUAAUACCAAAUAAAAUCAUAAUGACACAUGUCAUAACGAUCAAAACUCCGGUGGUCUAAGAUGGACUCGCGUCCCAUUAGCUAGUUGGUAGAGUAAAAGCCUACCAAGGCGACGAUGGGUAGCCGGCCUGAGAGGGUGAACGGCCACAUUGGAACUGAGAAACGGUCCAA
rnacentral:rRNA from 1 species